CCUUCCAUAAUAUGCCUGCAGAAUAGUUCCCUGAGGUUACCUCAGUUAAUUAGGACACACAGGUUUCUAAAUUUAUCCUGAUUUCUCCCCUGUUUCUAAAGCUACUGCUGCGGGCAGUCAUUAGUAAUCUUCUGUAGAGUAAAAAUGUUAAUUUAGGUUUCAUCUCUGCUGAUACCAAGCCGAAAAACUCACAAGGGUCAGCUUAAUCCUCAUCUGCAUACAAAAAAAUGUUUGGUUUAUCUCAAAUGUAAUUAGAAAUGUGACUCAUUCACCGCAACAUUCACCUCAGGAGCAGGGUGUGCUCCCAUCAACUUAAUCCAGUCACUAAAUCAAGAUAUACUGAUGCUAAAAGAUGAAAACCACAUUAAGUGUAUGCAUUGAGGAAUCUGAACCUGUUUAACUAAACCAAUUAAAGUAACAUGUUUUAAAACAGUGUUAUCUUCAUAGCUCAUCAACACCUUUGUUUAUUGCAGCCAGAGGGCUUCGGCUAUGAACACCCUGAGAGCCAGCUGUGAGGUUAGGUCAUGGAGACAGAUUGCCUUGCCUGAACAACAGAGGUCCAGAGGGCAUUUUUAGGAAAAGGUUCAGUUUCCCUUGCUAAUAAAACACACCUCAUUCCUAGUGUGAGUUUGCUGAAUUUCCCCUUCCAGUUAAUUUUGGUUGCUCUCAGUCUUGGUCUGCCCUUAAAGCUUUUGCUCCAUGUAAAACCAUACAUAGGUUUUAUGAUCAGUUCUUACCACCCUCAUUUAUGAAGGGGACUCCAGUGACCUGGCACUGGGGAACAGGCCUGGCAAGGGACUGCUCAGAAGGGUGUUUUGGUAACCAUGAAACACUCCCGGCCUGGCUUCCUGUAUGAGAAAACAACGUGUCAGGAGGUAUCUGAGCAUGCAGCUGCGGCACAGCCGUGCAGCCGGCCUUCCUGGGUCUGGCUGCACUACAGAGCACCGCUCACUGCCCCGGGCCCUCUGGUACAGCAAGGCCGAACUCGGGUCACUGCAGACCAUAAGUGAUACCAUCAGAAAGCUCUCAUGUUGAUCUCCAUGGCCACAUACAUAUUCGUUAACGACAGCCAGAAUCUGCAUUUUCUUUGGGUGAGAAAUUCCCCUUUACAACCAAGGUGUCCCUACACAAAAGCCUCCAGCUCAACCGACGGCUCGAUUUGGCUUGCAGCGCGACAUGCAACCGUGCGAAAGACCUGGGCUCAAGGGUCCUAGUCCUCCUCAGGCUGGUGAGGAGGAAGGCUAGCUAGCGCUGCGUCAGCAGGAGUGCCUCCAAGCAGUCACGGUGUUUCGCCACAGUGAAAACUAUGGGAUACUGAGGGAAAGGGGCUCGUCACGGGAUCAAACGGCAGCCCAGAAUGCAGGGGCAGGUGAGACUGACCUGUGAUCCUGGCUCCCUGUUUGGGGGGGGUCAGAGCCCUCUGGGCUUAUGCCUUGGGCUGGGGUUUGGUGGCCGAGAGAAAGCCCAGGCUCAGAUGCAUGAGUUACCCUGCUGCAAAAACACAAUAUAUAAUAGAAAGUCUAAGCCAACGAUGUUCGUAUCAGUUACAACAACGAGGAAGAUAAAUGCUUAUAGGAAAAGCAGUGCAAAUUAACAACGAUCAGAACUGCUAUUUGGCAAAACACAUGUUCCCUGGGACCUGUUUUAACACAAGUUCCCAAUUAAACUUCAGCUUAUUCAGAAAACCCUCAUUAUCUUUCCUGGAUAACUCUAAUUGAUUUUAACAGAAAACUUGUUUUAUCAGGGCAUUGCAUCAACCCUGCUUGUGAAAAAGCUGCAGAAAUGCUGGGCCUGUUGGCAUUCCUUCUGUGUGAACCAAACCAUCUGCCUUUAAUAAAGAAGAAUUUUGUUUUGAAACAUCUAGAAACAAUUUAAAAUAUCCCAAAAGAGCUUUAGCAGUCUCUGCAGAGUGAUACUCUCAGCAGACACCUCAUUUCAUGAAUCUGUUAAGUAUAAGGAGUUGCAGAGAGGUAUGUGCAACCAUGUAUGUUUCCAGGACAUUUUUCCAGUACAUUUUCCAGGAACUGCCCAAUGCAACCCUCCUGUCAGUGUUGUUCAUGAGGGCUGCACAGCUUAAAACUUGUGCAGUGCUUAAGAAAUUUCAUUUAAAUGAUUAAUGGCAAGAUUUUCCAUCUGAUGCUUGCCUGUACACACAAAAAAAUACUUGUGCAUAAUGUGCAAUUACUGCAGACUAAUAAAUAUACCAGAUUCUUUUAUAGGCAAGUGUAUUACUGUGCAACUUCUGGAACUCGUGGUAAAAAAUAAAAAAAAUAAAAAAAUAAAAAAAAUUCUGCACCAGGUAUGGCAAAACUGAACACCACCUUUCAGCAGGUAAUCUAUCUGUCUCUGUCAUCCACAAGAAACCAACAGUGCUACCCUCUUUUUCUGUCUCAACAAAUAUUCUUCAUUGGACUUACAAGGGUCACAUAGGUUGGUUGGCUUUCCAUUUCAGAACAGAUUUUAAGGUUAUUCUGUGUUCUCCAGAGAAAUUAAGAAAGUAAAUUUGUCUGGGAAAAGCCUCCAUUUAUUCUAAGGUAUCCUCAAAGUAGCUGGCAU